AUUACUAAAAUCACUAAACUGGCCACAUCCCGCCAAGAAUUUCAAACGGGGAAAGACGUUUGAUAAACGGGGAAAGACGUUUGAUAAUUCCAAAUUCAAUUUUCGUUCAAUCAUGUGAUCAAAUUGUUUCAUCAUUUUGGACACAUGACUUCACGAUUGACAGUGCUAUUUAUAAUAAUUAUUCCCAGUCAACUUCGAAACAACUCAGUAUAUUACAAGAUGGAGAUCAUAUUUUCGCUAAAAGGGAGAUCAUAUUAUAAGAUAGAUACUAGAUAGAUUGUUCAUUACGAUUAUGGAACUUUAAAAUGAACAUAAAACGAAUAUUUCAUAUAUUCUGUUGCAUUGACCUUCGUUUGGAUGUUUGUGACCUUGUUUAUGUUUGAAUAACUUGACUGUUGAGUAACGAAUUUCUGACGUUUAAUUCAAAACUACGCACCUGAUUGGAUAAUAAAAUUAGAAACCCAUGUACAAAAAUAAAUUGAUAACAAAAUCGUGAAGUCAUGUGACCAAAAUGAUGAAACAAUUUGAUCACAUGAUUGAACGAAAAUUGAAUUUGGAAUUAUCAAACGUCUUUCCCUGUUUAUCAAACGUCUUUCCCCGUUUGAAAUUCUUAGCGGGAUGUGGCCAGUUUAGUGAUUUUAGUAAUA